GCCUGGGUGGCUUGGUUGGUUAAGUGUCUGACUUCGGCUCAGGUCAUGAUCUCAAAGUCUGUGAGUUCAAGCUCCGCUUCAGGCU
rfam:Felis catus isolate Cinnamon breed Abyssinian chromosome E1, whole genome shotgun sequence.